rnacentral:rRNA from 1 species
GACGAACGCUGGCGGCGUGCCUAAUACAUGCAAGUCGAACGCUGAAAUUUGGUGCUUUCCCCGAGCGGGAGAGUUGCGGACGGGUGAGUAACGAGUAGGUAACCUGCCUGGUAGCGGGGGCUGGCUAAUGGAAACGAUGGCUAAUACCGCCUAAGAGUAGAUGUUUCAUGACAUUUGCUUAAAAGGAGAAAUUGCACCACUACCGGAGGGAUCUGCGUUGUAUUAGCUAGUUGGUGGGGUAACGGCUCACCAAGCCGGCGAUACAUAGCGGACCGGAGAGGGUGAGAGGCCUCCCUGGGACUGGGACACGGACCAGACCCCUACGGGAGGCAGCAGUAGGGAUGAUUAGGAAAGGGACGGAAGCCUGACCGAGCAACGGCGAGGGAGUGAAGAAGGGUAUCGGAUCGUGAAGUGCUGUUGGAAUAGAAGAAGGAGUGUGGUAGUGGAAAGGUGACACUGUGACGGUAUCGUAUCAGAAAGGGACGGCUAACUACGUG